CGUGCGGGUAGGGUUGGAGGGCUCGCCACCCUUUAACUCCGAAGGCGUAACGCGGGACCAGUAAUCUUGUUAAGUUACCAAACGUGAUAGAAGGUCCCCAUAGUAAGAUGAACUCCGCUCCGUGGAGUUUGCAUAGGUUGGGGAUCUGUCGGAGGACAGAUACCUACAACCCUAAUCGGGAGAACCUGGCCAGGCCCGGAAGGGAGCAACCUGUGCCCGAAUGCAAACGUUCACGGCAUGCGGAGAAGAUUUACCAUGGGGGUUAAAACCUCUAUCACGUUUGGUAACUUAACAAGAAGCCGCACA
rnacentral:SRP_RNA from 1 species